ACCUGUGCCUACAGGUAAUAAGCUGUCCCAGGGGAAGAUGAGGAUGGCAUAAGCUUCAUCUCCGGUUAUUCUUGUUUCCUAGCCAGCAGAGGAGAGUUUGGGCAGGCUCAUGGUUCUGUGGGUUAGCUUGUUUGACAUAUGCCUCCAGCUGGUGCAUGGUGCCGUGCACCUGUAGUCCCAGCUACUUGGGAGGCUGAGGUGGGAGGAUAGCUUUAGCCCCAGGAGUUCAAAUCCAGCAUGGGCAACAUAGUGAGAUCCCAUCUCUUAAAAAAAAAUAAGUAAAGAAAUGGCAACCCCUUGAUAACAGAACAACAUGGUGUUAUGGUCCUGGGGAACUUCAUUUCUUGUGUGUGGAAAACCGACCAACUGGACCUCUAUCCUGUGGCUUAAAAGCGUGGAAACUUAGACAGUUGCUG
rnacentral:lncRNA from 1 species